GAGAAAACAAAAGCAUUCAGUGUGAGUGGGACCAUUUCCUGAGAAAGAAAUCAACGGUUGUAAUUGAUUGAUGAGCUGGAUGGAGAAAUGAUCCAAGUGUUGAUGGGUUGUCUCUUACUUUGCACUUGCAGAUAGUGGGCAAGGUAAGAGAAGAUUGGUGAAUUCGGCUGCGAUGAUUGCGCUAGAUUGAUUGCCGUCCACAAUCUUCACUCUUUUUUAUUGGUGCAAAUCUCCACU
rnacentral:misc_RNA from 1 species